rnacentral:lncRNA from 1 species
UUCUUCCAUAAAGCUGAUACUUUUUUUCCCAACUGGAUAAGUUUUUCAAUAUCUGUAUUUUCACUUUAUCAAUUAAGGUUUUAUUUUUUAUUACUGUCACAAUAGUAAUUUAGUUCUAUCACUUGCUCCCAAUUUGUAAUUUACUUAAGUAUACACUCAAAAAUGGUUUAUAAAAUUUUAUAAAAACAUAUCUUCUGAUAAUACAGAAGGAUGACAAAUGCUAAAUGACCACUGCCAACUCCAUAUUUUAACAGUGAAAAGCAUUAAAUUUCUACUGAUCAAUAUAGCCAAGGCCAUUCUCACAUCAAAUGAGAAUAAUGGUCUUUUUUUCCUCCCAUGAAACCACUUUUCUAGAACCUUAAAUGGCAAGCAAGUUAGAAAGUUAAAUGGCGGGUUUCUUUUUGAAAUGGGGUAAAUAAAACAUAUAUCCAAAUUCAGAACAUUCUUAAUCUCUUAAAACAACUGUUUUUGCAGGAGUUCUUGACAAUGUUAUGAAAAGGCAGCAAGAAGUCUCAGAUAAGGAAUCAUGCUAGAUAAUUAUUAUUUCAGCAAAUUAUGAUGACAUUCAAAACACAGACUACCGAAAGGCAAAGCAGGCUUUUAGAUUAGUAAGUGGAAAGAUGAAACAAGAUGCUUAUCACAAUACAGACACUAGUAGACAGCUGAGGUUGAUCAUAGUAACGUGCACUUUGUCACGAGUUACAAGUGGGAUAAAUACUGAUCCCAAAGCAUGCAGUAUCAACUGUACAACAUCCAGCUUUGUGCAGGGGGUCCUCUGUAAGCCCUACAAGCCCAAAUUAUAGCCACAACUGCUAUGGGAUUCUACUGAACUUGU